rnacentral:rRNA from 1 species
UACGGGGGGGGGGCAAGCGUUGUUCGGAAUUACUGGGCGUAAAGGGCGCGUAGGCGGUUUGCUAAGUUGGAUGUGAAAACUCUGGGCUUAACCCAGAGCCUGCAUCCAAAACUGGCUGACUUGAGUACUGGAGGGGAAAGCGGAAUUCCUGGUGUAGCGGUGAAAUGCGUAGAUAUCAGGAGGAACACCGGUGGCGAAGGCGGCUUUCUGGACAGUAACUGACGCUGAGGCGCGAAAGCUAGGGGAGCAAACAGG